UNGCUUUUAGCUACCACUUACAGAUGGACCCGCGGCGCAUUAGCUAGUUGGUGAGGUAACGGCUCACCAAGGCAACGAUGCGUAGCCGACCUGAGAGGGUGAUCGGCCACACUGGGACUGAGACACGGCCCAGACUCCUACGGGAGGCAGCAGUAGGGAAUCUUCCGCAUGGACGAAAGUCUGACGGAGCAACGCCGCGUGAGUGAUGAAGGUUUUCGGAUCGUAAAGCUCUGUUGUUAGGGAAGAACAAGUGCCGUUCGAAUAGGGCGGCACCUGACGUACCAACCAAAANCC
rnacentral:rRNA from 1 species